rnacentral:rRNA from 1 species
CGGAUUGUAGUCUGCAACUCGACUACAUGAAGCCGGAAUCGCUAGUAAUCGCGGAUCAGAAUGCCGCGGUGAAUACGUUCCCGGGUCUUGUACACACCGCCCGUCACACCAUGGGAGCCGGAAAUGCCCGAAGUCAGUGACCCAACCGCGAGGAGGGAGCUGCCGAAGGCAGGUCUGGUAACUGGGGUGAAGUCGUAACAAGGUAAC